CGAGUCCGAGUCUCCACGGAGACGAAGUGGCGGUCAUCCAGCUUCCUAGAAAAGCUCUAACCACGUUAAUCUUUAGUUGCCUGUACCCGAAACCGACACAGGUAGGGGGGUAGAGAAUACCAAGGGGCGCGAGAUAACUCUCUCUAAGGAACUCGGCAAAAUGACCCCGUAACUUCGGGAGAAGGGGUACCACUGAGAAGUGGUCGCAGUGAAGAGGCCCAGGCGACUGUUUACCAAAAACACAGGUCUCCGCCAAGUCGCAAGACGAAGUAUGGGGGCUGACGCCUGCCCAGUGCCGGAAGGUUAAGGAAGUGGGUUAGGGAUUCGUCCCGAAGCUGACGACUGAAGCCCCGGUGAACGGCGGCCGUAACUAUAACGGUCCUAAGGUAGCGAAAUUCCUUGUCGGGUAAGUUCCGACCCGCACGAAAGGCGUAACGAUCUGGGCGCUGUCUCGGAGAGAGGCUCGGCGAAAUAGGAUUGUCUGUGAAGAUACGGACUACCUGCACCUGGACAGAAAGACCCUAUGAAGCUUUACUGUAGCUUGGAAUUGGGUUCGGGCUUGGUUUGCGCAGGAUAGGUGGGAGGCGAAGAAGAUUUGCUUGUGGGUGAAUCUGAGCCAACGGUGAGAUACCACUCUAACCAGGCUAGAAUUCUAACUUCAACCCGUCAACCGGGGGAAGGACAGUUUCAGGUGGGCAGUUUGACUGGGGCGGUCGCCUCCUAAAAGAUAACGGAGGCGCACAAAGGUUCCCUCAGGCUGGUUGGAAAUCAGCCAACGAGUGCAAAGGCAGAAGGGAGCUUGACUGCGAGACCUACAAGUCAAGCAGGGUGGAAACACGGUCUUAGUGAUCCGACGGCACCGAGUGGAAGGGCCGUCGCUCAACGGAUAAAAGUUACUCUAAGGAUAACAGGCUGAUCUCCCCCAAGAGUUCACAUCGACGGGGAGGUUUGGCACCUCGAUGUCGGCUCAUCGCAACCUGGGGCGGAAGUACGUCCCAAGGGUUGGGCUGUUCGCCCAUUAAAGCGGUACGUGAGCUGGGUUCAGAACGUCGUGAGACAGUUCGGUCCAUAUCCGGUGUAGGCGCAAGAACAUUGAGAGGAGUCUUCCUUAGUACGAGAGGACCGGGAAGAACGCACCCUGGUGUACCUGUUAUCGUGCCAACGGUAAACGCAGGGUAGCCAAGUGCGGAGUGGAUAACCGCUGAAAGCAUCUAAGUGGGAAGCCCACCUCAAGAUGAGUGUUCUCAUGGAGUAAUCCAGUAAGGUCACGGGAAGACGACCCGUUGAUAGGCGGUAGGUGGAAGUUCAGCAAUGGAUGAAGCCGAGCCGUACUAACAGACCGAGGGCUUGAC
rnacentral:rRNA from 1 species